ensembl:lncRNA novel transcript
AGCGUGCGCCUCGGCCUGCUAGGGGUACCCCAAGGCAGACAGAAGGCCCAUGAGGGAAAGGUGCAGCAGUCCAUCUGGUGCUUGAGUGUCAACCUAAGGCCUGAUGUCUAUGUUGGACCUUGGGUUCACCUGAGGCCUGAUAUCCACCUGGGGCCUCAAUGUCCAAAUGGGGCCUGAUGCCCAUCUGGGUCCUGGGUGUCCACCUGCAGCAUGGAUGUCCACUGGUACUUUAUGUCCACCAGGGGCCUAAUGUCCACCUAAGACCUGGUGUUCACCUGGGGUCUGAUGUUCAGCUGAAGACAGGAUGUCCACCUGGAGCCGAGGAAUCCACCCAGGGACUGGUGUUGAACUGGGGCCUGAUGACCACCCGGGGACAAGGUACACAUCAGGCUUGUUGUCCACCUGUCACCAGAUGUCCACCUGAGUCCUGAUGUCCAUCUUGAUCCUGUUUGUCCACAUUAGGCCUGAUGUCCAGCUGGGGCCUAGGUACCCACUGGGGGCUUCCUGUUAACCUGGGGACUGGUGUCAUUCUGGGGCCUAAUGACCACCUGGGUUGUAUUAUUCACCUAGGGCCUGGUGUCCACUUGGGGCUUGAGUGUAACCUUGGACCUGGCACCCACAUAGGAUUGGGUAUCAAACUGGCCCCUUGGUGUCCAGUUAAGACAUCAUGUGAACCUGGCGCCUGAGUGUCCACAUGGGUCCAAAUGACUACUGGGGGCCUGAAUGUCAACCUAGAAUCUGAGGUUUACUAGGGGCCUAGGUAUCCACCUGGGGCCCAAUGUCCACCUGAGCCUGGGUGUCAACCUGGGGCCUGAUGUAAACCUCUAGUUCACUAUCCACCUUGGGCUUAAUGUCAACCUGGAGCCCGAUGUCCACCUGAGUACUGAUGUUCACCUUUGACCUGAUGUCCACCUGUGGACUGUUUAUCCACCCAUGGCCUGAUGUUCACCUGGGGCUGAAUGUCCAACUGUGACCUGUUGUGCACCUGGAACCUAGGCAUCCACCUGCAGCCUGAUGUUCAGCUGGGCUGGGACCUGGAGUUCACCUGAGGCAUGAUGUCCACCUGAAGCUUGAUGUUCACCUGGGGGCUGGGUGUCCACUUGGGGCCCAAUAUCCACCUGGAGACUAGGUACCCACCUGGGAUCUGGUGUUCACUCAAGAUUGGUGUUCAGCUGUGGCCUAAUGACCACCUGGGUCACGGUGUCUACCUUGGACUGGGUGCUCACCUGGAGCCAGUGUUCACUGGGGGCCUAGUGUGCACCUGAGACUGGGGGAUGCACCUGGGGCCUGGUGUCUACCUGGUGCCUAGGUAUCCACUUGGGGCCUAAUGUUCAUCUGGAAUCUGAUAUCCACCUGGGGCCUUGUAAUUACCUGGGUUCUGGGCAUCCACCUAGGGCUUGAGUAUCCUCCUGGGGCCUUGAGUUUUACUAGGGACUCGUGUCUGCCUUGGACCUGGGUGUAUAUCUGUUACCUAAUGUACACCUUGAGAGUGAUGUCAACCUGGGGACAGAUGUCCUCUUGGGGUCUGAGUGUACACCUGGUGUCUGAUGUCUGCCUGGGGACUUGUGUUCACCUUAGACCUGAUAUUCACCUGGGGACUGGGCGUCCACGAGGGGCUGAUGUUCAGCUGGACACUGGAUAUCCACCUGGGGCUUGGGGAUCCAUCCAGAAACUGAUGUCAAACUGGGGCCUGAUGUCUACCUGCGGACUAGGUAUCCAUGUGAGGCUUGAUGUUCAUCCACGGCCAGACGUCCAUCUGAUGCUUGAUGUCCACCUUACUCCUGGGUGUCUACUAGAGACCUCAUGUCCAACUAGAAUUUAGGAACCUACUGGGGGCCUCGUGUAAACCUGGGGACUGGUAUGAAGCUGGGUCCUAAUGAUCCCCUGGGUCAUAUUAUUCACCUAGGGCCUCAUGUCCACUUGGGGCUUCAGUGUCAAACUU